GUGAUUUCAUUUUAAUUGCACUAGCUGCAGGCUAUUGGUCAUUUUUUCUUCCACUCAUCUUACAAUAUUCAACAACUAAGCAACAACCUCCAAUCAAGAGAACAAAACGCUAAGUAGAUUUUUUCUUAUGCUUUUUCAUUCUUCUGAGUUUUUAUUUGAUUUUUUUUACAUUUGUAUACUCUGAAACCAGAAGUAACAUAUAAUAUACACAACAGUAAAUGGUAACUCAUAUAUUUGUACAUCAUGGUAGUAGUGUAAUUCACAUACCUUUGUACACAGUAGAACCAUAGUUUGUACAACAUACUUACUCACUUGCACACAUGUAAUACAGUCUUUGUACUAAAUCAUAGCCAAAAUGAAAGUCUUAUGAAAAUUUAGUAUUAGUAUUAUGUAACCCCAAAAAGACACAUUGAUACCAAUAGAUGUCCACGUAAUUAAUGAUUACUGCAUAAUUGGUUAACGACCCCUUUGCUUCCUGCUAUUACCUUACAUUUCAAAUAAUGAAAAGAAAUACUAUUUAUUAUCCAGGUGAACAUAACAUAUAUUUUCAUACUAUAUCAUGCUUCAUUGCUUUGGAAAACAUCCAUAAAAGUACAACACUAAUAAAUUAACACAACUGAUAUGCAUCAUGUGCUAAAUAUAUGUACCCCUUUCCCUGAGGGAGGUAGAACAUAUAGCUAUUAUGUACCCAAUUCCCGGAGGGAGGUAGUAUAGAUAUUUUGUACAUCAUUCCCUGAGGGAGGAAGAACACAUAGGCUAAUAUGUACCCAAUUCCCAGAGGGAGGUAGAUAUUUUGUAUCCCAUUCCCAGAGGGAGAUAGAUAUUUUGUAUCCCAUUCCCAGAGGGAGGUAGAUAUUUUGUAUCCCAUUCCCAGAGGGAGGUAGAUAUUUUGUAUCCCAUUCCCAGAGGGAGGCAGAUAUUUUGUAUCCCAUUCCCAGAGGGAGGUAGAUAUUUUGUAUCCCAUUCCAAGAGGGAGAUAGAUAUUUUGUAUCCCAUUCCCAGAGGGAGAUAGAUAUUUUGUAUCCCAUUCCCAGAGGGAGGUAGAUAUUUUGUAUCCCAUUCCCAGAGAGGGAAAGAACAUGUAGCUAUGAUGUACACCAUUCCUAGAGGGUGGUAUAACAUACAGCCGCUUAAUGCAUUCCAGCUUUACACUACACGUCCUAUUCAACCUAAUUAGCAGUUAAGAGAACAAAAAAAAUCAUGGAUGUUGUAAGAGAUAUCUAUACUUGUUGUCAUUAGGCAAAUGAAGCACUAGUUAAAUUUGCUUGGAAAUUUCUUUGUUGAGAUUUUAUUUUGUGAUGUUUGUUCAGUCAACUGCUAAAUUCAGCAGUUGAAGACUUGGGUAUUUUUUUUCUCUUGCUCUCUUUUUUUUUUUUUUUUUUUAAAUAU